rnacentral:rRNA from 1 species
UGGGGAAUAUUGGACAAUGGGCGCAAGCCUGAUCCAGCCAUGCCGCGUGAGUGAUGAAGGCCAUAGGGUUGUAAAGCUCUCUCACCGGUGAAGAUAAUGACGGUAACCGGAGAAGAAGCCCCGGCUAACUUCGUGCCAGCAGCCGCGGUAAUACGAAGGGGGCUAGCGUUGUUCGGAUUUACUGGGCGUAAAGCGCACGUAGGCGGACUUUUAAGUCAGGGGUGAAAUCCCGGGGCUCAACCCCGGAACUGCCUUUGAUACUGGAAGUCUUGAGUAUGGUAGAGGUGAGUGGAAUUCCGAGUGUAGAGGGGAAAUUCGUAGAUAUUCGGAGGAACACCAGUGGCGAAGGCGGCGCACUGGACCAUUACUGACGCUGAGGUGCGAAAGCGUGGGGAGCAAACAGG